ACAGUUACUGAGCACUUACUAUUUACCCAGCAGCGGGAGGCGUUGGAAAUUCGGAGAUCAGCACCAUGAAGUUUCAGCUUCCAGGAGCUCACCAUCCCAUGAAAGACAAAAAAACGUGCAAGUCAGACGCCACCCCGUCUACAGAGCAGUGCAAGCGGCCUCAUCACUGCCACACCCUUCCUGUGGUACACUUUGUCUGUGAUGGCGAUGUCUGUGAUUAAAAGACACCACCUCCAGGCCAGUGUUCCUGAGCCGUGGCAUCACCGAGGUUGGCCCGUGAAGUCAUCCUCUGGAUCCUCUCUCAGGCCCAGCACAGUGUUCUGCGUGUGGCAGCAGCUCCAUGGUGUCUGCUGAACCCACUCCUGAAAGGCUUCAUGCUUCCCUUCCUGCAGAGUCUCCAAGGCCCCCAAGGGAGGAGAGAAAGUCAGAGAGAGCUGCCUCGGGUUCAGCCUCAUGAACAUGUCAGUCAUUCUAAGUCAGACAUCGGAGGGCUCUGUGGAGCCAAACUCAGCUGGGAGAGACCGGGGUGCUUGUCAAGCCAGAAAGGUCUUUCUGCCUAGGAAACAGCUGGAUGCAAGUGGCCCAGGUUAUGGUCAGCCCUUGACAAGGUCUCAGCUGCUGAGACAUUACUCAGGACCUGUGUGUCCCAGCAAUUGGCUGCUGCAGACUGCUGUCUAGUUCCUCCAAGGUUUCUGAGGCCUCUCCCAUGAUGCCGGUGUUUGAGGAUUCGCUCCUCUCUCUCAGGGGAAGUGGGAAGACAGGAGAGAGGGCAGCAUGGACCCUGCCUGAAAACCUCCAAAGGGAACCAAUCCCAAGAAGCCACUGUGAGUGAGGCCUUUGAAUCAUCUACUUCGGAAGAACUGUACCUGAUGGUUACAGCAUAGAUAGACACGGGAAGUAAUCUGUGAUUUCCAAUUCCGUGUUAAAAAAAAAUCCACGGGGCUCUAAUAAAGGUU
rnacentral:lncRNA from 1 species